GUGGGGAAUCUUCCGCAAUGGACGAAAGUCUGACGGAGCAACGCCGCGUGAGUGAAGAAGGUUUUCGGAUCGUAAAGCUCUUUCGUAGGGACGAACGUGCUCUUUGUGAAUAAUGAGGAGUAAUGACGGUACCUAAAUAAGAAGCCACGGCUAACUACGUGCCAGCAGCCGCGGUAAUACGUAGGUGGCAAGCGUUGUCCGGAAUUAUUGGGCGUAAAGCGCGCGCAGGCGGGAUAUCAAGUCUGUCUUAAAAGUGCGAGGCUCAACCUCGUGAGGGGACAGAAACUGGUAUUCUUGAGUGUCGGAGAGGAAAGUGGAAUUCCAAGUGUAGCGGUGAAAUGCGUAGAGAUUUGGAAGAACACCAGUGGCGAAGGCGACUUUCUGGACGAUGUCUGACGCUGAGGCGCGAAAGCUAGGGGAGCGAACGGGAUUAGAUACCCUUGUAGUCC
rnacentral:rRNA from 1 species